rnacentral:misc_RNA from 1 species
GGUUUGAUCAUGGUCAGAUUGAACGCUGGGCGGGAUGCUUUACACAUGCAAGUCGAACGGCAGCACGGACUUCGGUCUGGUGGCGAGUGGCGAACGGGUGAGUACGUAUCGGAACGUGCCUAGUAGCGGGGAUAACUACGCGAAAGCGUAGCUAAUACCGCAUAUGCCCUUUUCGGGGGAAAGCGGGGACCUUUCGGGCCUCGCACUAUUAGAGCGGCCGAUAUCGGAUUAGCUAGUUGGUGGGGCAACGGCUCACCAAGGCGACGAUCCGUAGCCGGUUUGAGUGACGACCAGCCACACUGGGACUGGAGACGGCCCAGACUCCUACGGGAGGCAGCAGUGGGGAAUUUUGAC